GACAGAGGUGCCGAGCGUUGUCCGGAUUUAUUGGGCGUAAAGAGCGUGUAGGCGGCCAUUCAGGUCAGCUGUGAAAACUCGAGGCUCAACCUCGAGACGUCGGUUGAAACCGUUUGGCUAGAGUCCGGAAGAGGAGAGUGGAAUUCCCGGUGUAGCGGUGAAAUGCGCAGAUAUCGGGAAGAACACCUAUGGCGAAGGCAGCUCUCUGGGACGGUACUGACGCUGAGACGCGAAAGCGUGGGGAGCGAACAGG
rnacentral:rRNA from 1 species